UGAACGCUGGCGGCGUGCUUAACACAUGCAAGUCGAACGAUGAAGCCUAGCUUGCUAGGUGGAUUAGUGGCGCACGGGUGAGUAAUAUAUAGAUAAUGUGCCUCUUAGUCUGGGAUAGCCAUUGGAAACGAUGAUUAAUACUAGAUACUCCUUCUUAAUCUAAUUUAAGUCGGGAAAGUUUUUCGCUAAGAGAUCAGUCUAUAUCCCAUCAGUUAGUUGGUAAGGUAACGGCUUACCAAGGCAAUGACGGGUAGCGGGUUUGAGAGGAUGAUCCGCCACACUGGUACUGAGACACGGACCAGACUCCUACGGGAGGCAGCAGUGAGGAAUAUUGCACAAUGGGGGAAACCCUGAUGCAGCAACGCCGCGUGGAGGAUGACGCAUUUCGGUGUGUAAACUCCUUUUAUAUGUCAAGAAAAUGACGGUAGCAUAUGAAUAAGCACCGGCUAACUCC
rnacentral:rRNA from 1 species